UACGUAGGGGGCUAGCGUUGUCCGGAUUUAUUGGGCGUAAAGAGCGUGUAGGCGGCCUGGUAGGUCUGCUGUGAAAACUCGAGGCUCAACCUCGAGAUGUCGGCGGAAACCAUCUGGCUAGAGUCCGGAAGAGGAGAGUGGAAUUCCUGGUGUAGCGGUGAAAUGCGCAGAUAUCAGGAAGAACACCGAUGGCGAAGGCAGCUCGCUGGGACGUGACUGACGCUGAGACGCGAAAGCGUGGGGAGCAAACAGG
rnacentral:rRNA from 1 species